rnacentral:lncRNA from 1 species
GGUUUCGAACUCCUGAACUCAAGUGAUCCACCCACCAAUGCCUCCCAAAGUGCUGGGAUUACAGGUGUGAACCACAGCACCCAGCCAGUUAGAACUUUUUUUGAUUUCCAUGCAUGGAAACCCAUCUUUAAAUAAUUUAGUCAAGCAAUGGGAAUUUAUUGGAGGUGGAUUCUCAUAACUGCGGGAAGAUGUGAAGUGCAGCUGGACCAAGAGGACAACUGAAUUGGGAACUUACAUUCUCUGCCAGUAGAAUUUCUCCCCAUCUCUCAUCUGCCACUCCAUGCUUCAUUCUCUUAAAAUGAUCUCUUUAACAGGUACAGAGACUGCACAGAAUCUCCCAGAAGACCUUAGUCAAUGCAGAAUUAAAUGGAAAAAUUCCACUUUUGUCAAAGGUGAAAAAUCUGGCUUUCCUUACAUGCAGAACCUCUAGAGACAUCAACAUGGUCUGUAUGAGCAACCUCAGCA